UCUACCCCUGGUUUCGGGAUAACACCGCGAAAGCGGUGCUAAUACCGGGUGAUAUUUAUCAUACUCAGGUAUAAUAAAUGAAAGGUGGCCUCUUCUUGAAAGCUACUGUUUGGGGAUGAGCCCGCGUACCAUUAGCUUGUCGGUAGGGUAAAGGCCUACCGAGGCGACGAUGGCUAGCUGGUCUGAGAGGAUGAUCAGCCACACUGGAACUGACACACGGUCCAGACUCCUACGGGAGGCAGCAGUGAGGAAUUUUGCGCAAUGGGGGCAGCCCUGACGCAGCAACGCCGCGUGAGUGAAGAAGGCUUUCGGGUCGUAAAGCUCUGUCAAGUGGGAAGAACCUGUAUAUAUUUAAUACAUAUAUGCACUGACGGUACCACUGAAGGAAGCACCGGCUAACUCCGUGCCAGCAGCCGCGGUAAUACGGGGGGUGCAAGCGUUAUUCGGAAUUAUUGGGCGUAAAGGGCGCGCAGGCGGUUUUAUAAGUCAGAUGUGAAAUCUCCAGGCUUAACCUGGAAAGUGCAUUUGAAACUAUGAGACUUGAGUAUGGCAGAGGGAAGCGGAAUUCCUGGUGUAGAGGUGAAAUUCGUAGAUAUCAGGAGGAACACCGGUGGCGAAGGCGGCUUCCUGGGCAAAUACUGACGCUGAGGCGCGAAGGCGUGGGUAGCAAACAGGAUUAGAUACCCUGGUAGUCCACGCAGUAAACGGUGAUCACUAGGUGUAGCGGGUAUUGAACCCUGCUGUGCCGGAGUUAACGCAUUAAGUGAUCCGCCUGGGGAGUACGAUCGCAAGAUUAAAACUCAAAGGAAUUGACGGGGGCCCGCACAAGCGGUGGAGCAUGUGGUUUAAUUCGACGCAACGCGAAGAACCUUACCUGGGUUUGACAUCUCCCGAAGCCCUGAGAAAUCAGGGUGUGCCCGUCAGGGAGCGGGAUGACAGGUGCUGCAUGGCUGUCGUCAGCUCGUGUCGUGAGAUGUUGGGUUAAGUCCCGCAACGAGCGCAACCCUUGUCUCUAGUUACCAUCAAGUCAUGUUGGGGACUCUAGAGAUACUGCCCCGGUUAACGGGGAGGAAGGUGGGGAUGACGUCAAGUCCUCAUGGCCUUUAUAUCCAGGGCUACACACGUGCUACAAUGGUAUGUACAGAGGGUCGCGAGCCCGAGAGGGUUAGCUAAUCCCAAAAAGCAUACCUCAGUUCGGAUUGGAGUCUGCAACUCGACUUCAUGAAGUUGGAAUCGCUAGUAAUCGCGGAUCAGCAUGCCGCGGUGAAUACGUUCCCGGGCCUUGUACACACCGCCCGUCACACCAUGAGAGUUGGUUGUACCCGACGUUGCUA
rnacentral:rRNA from 1 species